AAUUCGCCCUUGAGCACGUAGGUGGGUUUGUAAGUCAGGUGUGAAAGCCUUCUGUUCAACGGGAGAAUUGCAUCUGAAACUACAAGUCUUGAGUGUAGGAGGGGAGAAUGGAACUUCUGGUGGAGCGGUGAAAUCCGUAGAUAUCAGAAGGAACGCCGGCGGCGAAAGCGAUUCUCUGGCCUAUUACUGACACUCAGUGUGCGAAAGCUAGGGGAGCAAACGGGAUUAGAUACCCCGGUAGUCCUAGCCGUAAACGAUGGGCACUAAGUAGAGGGGAUUACCGACGUUCUCUCUGCCGUAGCUAACGCAUUAAGUGCCCCGCCUGGGGAGUACGGCCGCAAGGCUAAAACUCAAAAGAAUUGACGGGGGCUCGCACAAGCGGUGGAGCAUGUGGCUUAAUUCGAUGCAACGCGAAGAACCUUACCGGGGCUUGACAUGGUAGAAGUAGGAACCCGAAAGGGUAACGAACGGUAUCCAGUCCGUGACUAUCACAGGUGUUGCAUGGCUGUCGUCAGCUCGUGUCGUGAGACGUUGGGUUAAGUCCCCUAACGAGCGAAACCCUUGUUUUUAGUUACCAGCGGGUUAUGCCGGGUACUCUAGAAAGACUGCCGUCGUCAAGACGGAGGAAGGUGGGGAUGACGUCAAGUCAUCAUGGCCCUUAUGCCCCGGGCUGCACACGUGCUACAAUGGUCGGUACAAACGGAAGCGAAGCCGAGAGGUGAAGCGAAUCCAAGGGCGAAUU
rnacentral:rRNA from 1 species